rnacentral:lncRNA from 1 species
GAUUAUGAUGAACAACGAUUCUGAUGAACAGCGAUGUGAUGAAGCAGUUGUUAGGAAGCGAUGAACGGCGAAUCUGAAGCGAUUAUGCAGAGAAGUGAUUCAGUGAAGUGCUUAUGAGAGAGAGGUAAGCGUUUGUGUUGAAGUGAUUUUGAAAAGUGAUUUUGAGAAGUGCUUAUGAGAGGCAAGCAAAAGAGAGAGGGAUGAGAGAGAGAGAGGGAUGAGAGAGAGUGGGAGAGAAACGUGAAGAAGCGAUUAUGAGAGAGAGUGAAAAGAAAAUUUGGAUUCUUCUCUCUGAAA